rnacentral:rRNA from 1 species
AUUUUCUUCGGAAUUGAAAGUGGAAUGACUCAGUGGCGGACGGGUGAGUAACGCGUGGAUAACCUACCUUAGUACUGGGGGACAACAAUUAGAAAUGAUUGCUAAUACCGCAUAAGCGCACAGUGCCGCAUGGCACCGUGUGAAAACUACAGUGGUAUAAGAUGGAUCCGCGUUUGAUUAGUUGUUGGUGGGGUAAUGGCCUACCAAGACUACGAUCAAUAGCCGGCCUGAGAGGCGAACGGCCACAUUGGGACUGAGACACGCCAACUCC